GGGACGUUAGUACAAUGGUUAGUGCCCUCGGCUCAUAACCGAGCUUAUCUGAGUUCGAAUCUCAGGCGUCCCACCA
rnacentral:tRNA from 1 species